UACAGAGGGGGCAAGCGUUGUUCGGAAUUACUGGGCGUAAAGGGCGCGUAGGCGGCCUGCUAAGUCGAACGUGAAAUCCCCGGGCUCAACCCGGGAACUGCGUCCGAUACUGGUUGGCUUGAAUCCGGGAGAGGGAUGCGGAAUUCCAGGUGUAGCGGUGAAAUGCGUAGAUAUCGUGAGGAACACCAGAGGCGAAGGCGGCUACCUGGACAAUUGCUGACGCUCAGGCACGAAAGCGUGGGGAGCAAAAGGG
rnacentral:rRNA from 1 species